CUUCAUUCGUAAAGUUUUGAUCGUCAAAAACGUGAUUCAGUUUUGCCGACCAGCUUUUUUUUCGCGGACUAUUUUUCUAUUCCCUCUUAAGAAAAAGGAGAAACCACGUUAGAAGAACUUACAGAGUAAAGGCCCCAUCUGAUGUUAUUGAAAGAGGAGUUGCAAUGGUGUUGUACGAUUGAAAAUCAUGUUCUAGUGUGGCUAUUCUUUUUGACAUUCCAAGAAGUCUAACUAGAUAUGUUGAAAAGAAGAAGAAGUCAGGUCUAGAAGAACAAAACAUGCCCAAUAGUGUUUCUCCAACCCAUAAUGGUUAUUCAUCUGUGCGACAGGUUUUCAAAAAGGAAGAUGAGGCUCUGCUAGCUGAUUACCUUCACCGUUCAGCAGAUAUUUACUUUGGAUUGUCCCCAAUUGAUGUUAGAAAACAUUCAUUUCAUCUGUGCAACAGAUUUUCAAAAAGGAAGAUGAGGCUCUGCUAGCUGAUUAUCUUCACCGUUCAGCAGAUAUUUACUUUGGAUUGGCCCCAAUUGAUGUUAGGAAGCUGGCUUUUAAUGUUGCCUUAACUAAAAAUCUAAAAAUCCCACCUUCGUGGACUGAAAAACUUGCAGCUGGACCAGACUGGUUUGCAUCAUUCAUGAAACGCCAUCCCACCCUGGCAAUAAGAAAACCUGAGGCUACUUCCCUGGCAAGAACGUCAUCAUUUAUUAUCCACAAUUGUAAUUUGUUCUUUGACAAUUAUCAAAGAGUGUUGCCAACUUGGUGUAACAAAAGUUUCAACACCUGAGAAGGGUAGAAAAGGCCAGAAACAAAUAGGAUCAAUUGUUUCAGGAGAAAGAGGUGUGUUGGCGACGGUUAGUUGUUCAGUUUCCAGCUGCGGAAAUACUAUUCCACCCUUCUUUGUCUUUCCUCGAGUGAAUUUCAAGAAUCAUUUUCUCGCAGGAUGACCUCUAGGUUGCGACGGUAUAGCCAAAAAAUCAGGUUGCAUGAAUGAUGCUACCAUGGACCUUUGGAUUAAACAUUUCAUUCAUGCAAGAGCUGCGUCGAUGACAGAGAAGAAGAUGACGAAAGUUAUGUUUCCUCAAAUCUAAGACGGCUCUGUAGUAGGCCUUAUGUGCCUAUGUUGAUUGUAAGGCCAACCUGCCCCAGCUGAAAGGGCAACUUGCCCCGGCGGCGGGGUAAGUUGGCCACUG